UCCGGCGUAGCUCAGUUGGUAGAGCAACUGGCUGUUAACCAGUGGGUCGGAGGUUCGAGUCCUCCCGCCGGAGC
rnacentral:tRNA from 1 species